AAAGCCUGACGGAGCAAUACCGCGUGAGGGAGGAAGGCUCUUGGGUUGUAAACCUCUUUUCUCAGGGAAUAAAAAAAUGAAGGUACCUGAGGAAUAAGCAUCGGCUAACUCCGUGCCAGCAGCCGCGGUAAUACGGAGGAUGCAAGCGUUAUCCGGAAUGAUUGGGCGUAAAGCGUCCGCAGGUGGCACUGUAAGUCUGCUGUUAAAGAGCAAGGCUCAACCUUGUAAAGGCAGUGGAAACUACAGAGCUAGAGUACGUUCGGGGCAGAGGGAAUUCCUGGUGUAGCGGUGAAAUGCGUAGAGAUCAGGAAGAACACCGGUGGCGAAAGC
rnacentral:rRNA from 1 species